rnacentral:misc_RNA from 1 species
GGGAAAGAAGGAGGGAACAGGGGUAGGGACGAGACUUGAAAGUGUUUCGUUUUCCAAGUUGAGAGGUGCAUCUACCGUAAGGCAAAGCCUACAGGUGCAUAAGGUUUCUUCUUGACUACUCUUGCUACCCAAUUUGAAUUGGAUUGUCAAGGUUAUAAGACGAAAAUCAAUGAUUUAUGAUCUUUACACUAUCAUAAAUAGUUGGUAAUGGUACUUAUCUUCCAUGGUCUUGUUUAUGGCUGAAGAAUUGGCCUUUUCAGUUUUCUCUCUGCUUCCUGCGUAUUAUGGUUCCCUCCUCCUUAUUGCUUAGAACAUAAAACUUUUAUUUGCAAAAAAGCAGCC